rnacentral:sRNA from 1 species
GGCUACGAUUAGGCUUCUCGACGUCCUGUGCGAAAUGACUGUGAAUACUGAGCUGCUCGGCUAUCUGCAGGUUUUCCCUGGCUUGCUGGAAAGAGUGAUUGAUCUUUUACGGGUGAUUCAUGUAGCUGGGAAAGAAACCACAAACAUCUUCAGUAAUUGUGGUUGCGUGAGAGCAGAAGGUGACAUCUCCAAUGUGGCCGAGGGGUUUAAGUCUCAUCUCAUUCGUCUGAUUGGAAAUCUGUGUUACAAGAAUAAAGAUAACCAAGACAAGGUAAAUGAGCUGGAUGGUAUCCCGUUGAUCCUGGACAACUGCAACAUCAGUGACAGUAACCCCUGUAUCCUUGCAUGUGAAUUACCUUGCACAAGUUUACAGCCGGGGCCCUUAGCAAAACAAGUCCGUUUCCUCAUGUUCAUUCAUGCCACCAUCCAGUCCACACUUGCAUCAUUGCUGGCCCUGAACUUCGGCAGUGACUUCCUAACUCAUCUUUCAGUUUCUGCUCCUGCUGGGUCCAGG